UUGUCAAAACCCACAGAACUGUUCAUUUGCCAUGGACAUGACCACAAAACAUUUUACCGCUAGGUUUUCUUUCUGCUACCUUGCUAGCAUUCAGCCUAUUGGGAACAUUU